AACACACACCAAGAGAAGGGCGUAAGAAUUGUUUAUCAAAAGCUACAAGGUGAGAAUUUACAUUUGAUAAAAAAAAAAAAGUUCUGGUUUCCUUCCGUUCUGCAGACAUCUAAACCCUUCUGUUGGCCUAAUGUGGUCGGAUGGGGGAGGUCAGAAAUAGAGGCUGGGUUUUCUUCAGUGAGUCCAUUUGGAUGGCAGACCUGAGAGCUGAAAGCAGCUCCUCAAAAUGGCAAGUGAGGUGCUCUACGCCAAGGUGUCGCCCAAGGAAAGAGGGAAUUUUAUUGCAGAAGAUUCAGAUACAGGUGACCAAGUCACAUAUGCUGAGGUGAAUGUGACAUGGAGAUCGGACACACCUGACAGCACACCCAAAACGACACAUUCAGCGGCCUGCUGGGAGAGCUCCCCCUGGUGCUUCGCUGUCUUCGCCCUGUGUUUCUGCGCCGCGGUUCUGCUCCUGGCAGUCAUCCUGCUGGCGGUGAGGUGUUACAGCCGCUGACCCUGCUGCGACGGGAUAAGUCAGCACAGGAAUGUUCUGCUUCAUCGAGAUGGGAUGUAGUGCUCGUAUUAUUUGACAUCAUUUUGGCUGAAGAGACAAAAUGAAAAGAUGCCAUCAGUCUGAUCACUCUCCUGUUAGGUCAUCCCAGGUCUCUGUUAAACCUCUCACCUCUCCAUACAUGGACAAGACAUAUAUUAAUUUUUAUUUGGAAUUUUCUUAAUCCAACUACAUCAGCGCAUGUACCAAGACACGGGCUCAACCUCCUGCAUCAAAAGGUGGAUUUGGGCCUAGGUUAGACAACAAAAAUGAGGUGGAAACAUACUUUUAAUUCACAUCUGACUUGAUUCUGCCCUGAUGUGGAAUGCAGACAAGAUUUUGGAUUAUAUGCAAGUACAAAAACUCAUGGACCAAACAGGGAAUGUGAAAGGUUGCACUGAGCUUUUUUAUAAAGCCUGGGCUUUAUAAACUUGAUUUUUCUUCUUCUGACAGCCUUUAGUUAGAUUUGUAGG
rnacentral:lncRNA from 12 species